GGUUAAGCGACUAAGCGUACACGGUGGAUGCCCUGGCAGUCAGAGGCGAUGAAGGACGUGCUAAUCUGCGAUAAGCGUCGGUAAGGUGAUAUGAACCGUUAUAACCGGCGAUUUCCGAAUGGGGAAACCCAGUGUGAUUCGUCACACUAUCAUUAACUGAAUCCAUAGGUUAAUGAGGCGAACCGGGGGAACUGAAACAUCUAAGUACCCCGAGGAAAAGAAAUCAACCGAGAUUCCCCCAGUAGCGGCGAGCGAACGGGGAGCAGCCCAGAGCCUGAAUCAGUGUGUGUGUUAGUGGAAGCGUCUGGAAAGGCGCGCGAUACAGGGUGACAGCCCCGUACACAAAAAUGCACAUACUGUGAGCUCGAUGAGUAGGGCGGGACACGUGGUAUCCUGUCUGAAUAUGGGGGGACCAUCCUCCAAGGCUAAAUACUCCUGACUGACCGAUAGUGAACCAGUACCGUGAGGGAAAGGCGAAAAGAACCCCGGCGAGGGGAGUGAAAAAGAACCUGAAACCGUGUACGUACAAGCAGUGGGAGCACAGAGCAAUCUGUGUGACUGCGUACCUUUUGUAUAAUGGGUCAGCGACUUAUAUUCUGUAGCAAGGUUAACCGAAUAGGGGAGCCGAAGGGAAACCGAGUCUUAACUGGGCGUUAAGUUGCAGGGUAUAGACCCGAAACCCGGUGAUCUAGCCAUGGGCAGGUUGAAGGUUGGGUAACACUAACUGGAGGACCGAACCGACUAAUGUUGAAAAAUUAGCGGAUGACUUGUGGCUGGGGGUGAAAGGCCAAUCAAACCGGGAGAUAGCUGGUUCUCCCCGAAAGCUAUUUAGGUAGCGCCUCGUGAAUUCAUCUCCGGGGGUAGAGCACUGUUUCGGCAAGGGGGUCAUCCCGACUUACCAACCCGAUGCAAACUGCGAAUACCGGAGAAUGUUAUCACGGGAGACACACGGCGGGUGCUAACGUCCGUCGUGAAGAGGGAAACAACCCAGACCGCCAGCUAAGGUCCCAAAGUCAUGGUUAAGUGGGAAACGAUGUGGGAAGGCCCAGACAGCCAGGAUGUUGGCUUAGAAGCAGCCAUCAUUUAAAGAAAGCGUAAUAGCUCACUGGUCGAGUCGGCCUGCGCGGAAGAUGUAACGGGGCUAAACCAUGCACCGAAGCUGUGGCAGCGACGCUGAUGCGUUGUUGGGUAGGGGAGCGUUCUGUAAGCCUGUGAAGGUGUGCUGUGAGGCAUGCUGGAGGUAUCAGAAGUGCGAAUGCUGACAUAAGUAACGAUAAAGCGGGUGAAAAGCCCGCUCGCCGGAAGACCAAGGGUUCCUGUCCAACGUUAAUCGGGGCAGGGUGAGUCGACCCCUAAGGCGAGGCCGAAAGGCGUAGUCGAUGGGAAACAGGUUAAUAUUCCUGUACUUGGUGUUACUGCGAAGGGGGGACGGAGAAGGCUAUGUUGGCCGGGCGACGGUUGUCCCGGUUUAAGCGUGUAGGCUGGUUUUCCAGGCAAAUCCGGAAAAUCAAGGCUGAGGCGUGAUGACGAGGCACUACGGUGCUGAAGCAACAAAUGCCCUGCUUCCAGGAAAAGCCUCUAAGCAUCAGGUAACAUCAAAUCGUACCCCAAACCGACACAGGUGGUCAGGUAGAGAAUACCAAGGCGCUUGAGAGAACUCGGGUGAAGGAACUAGGCAAAAUGGUGCCGUAACUUCGGGAGAAGGCACGCUGAUAUGUAGGUGAAGUCCCUCGCGGAUGGAGCUGAAAUCAGUCGAAGAUACCAGCUGGCUGCAACUGUUUAUUAAAAACACAGCACUGUGCAAACACGAAAGUGGACGUAUACGGUGUGACGCCUGCCCGGUGCCGGAAGGUUAAUUGAUGGGGUCAGCGCAAGCGAAGCUCUUGAUCGAAGCCCCGGUAAACGGCGGCCGUAACUAUAACGGUCCUAAGGUAGCGAAAUUCCUUGUCGGGUAAGUUCCGACCUGCACGAAUGGCGUAAUGAUGGCCAGGCUGUCUCCACCCGAGACUCAGUGAAAUUGAACUCGCUGUGAAGAUGCAGUGUACCCGCGGCAAGACGGAAAGACCCCGUGAACCUUUACUAUAGCUUGACACUGAACAUUGAGCCUUGAUGUGUAGGAUAGGUGGGAGGCUUAGAAGUGUGGACGCCAGUCUGCAUGGAGCCGACCUUGAAAUACCACCCUUUAAUGUUUGAUGUUCUAACGUUGACCCGUAAUCCGGGUUGCGGACAGUGUCUGGUGGGUAGUUUGACUGGGGCGGUCUCCUCCUAAAGAGUAACGGAGGAGCACGAAGGUUGGCUAAUCCUGGUCGGACAUCAGGAGGUUAGUGCAAUGGCAUAAGCCAGCUUGACUGCGAGCGUGACGGCGCGAGCAGGUGCGAAAGCAGGUCAUAGUGAUCCGGUGGUUCUGAAUGGAAGGGCCAUCGCUCAACGGAUAAAAGGUACUCCGGGGAUAACAGGCUGAUACCGCCCAAGAGUUCAUAUCGACGGCGGUGUUUGGCACCUCGAUGUCGGCUCAUCACAUCCUGGGGCUGAAGUAGGUCCCAAGGGUAUGGCUGUUCGCCAUUUAAAGUGGUACGCGAGCUGGGUUUAGAACGUCGUGAGACAGUUCGGUCCCUAUCUGCCGUGGGCGCUGGAGAAUUGAGGGGGGCUGCUCCUAGUACGAGAGGACCGGAGUGGACGCAUCACUGGUGUUCGGGUUGUCAUGCCAAUGGCACUGCCCGGUAGCUAAAUGCGGAAGAGAUAAGUGCUGAAAGCAUCUAAGCACGAAACUUGCCCCGAGAUGAGUUCUCCCUGACUCCUUGAGAGUCCUGAAGGAACGUUGAAGACGACGACGUUGAUAGGCCGGGUGUGUAAGCGCAGCGAUGCGUUGAGCUAACCGGUACUAAUGAACCGUGAGGCUUAACCUU
rnacentral:rRNA from 1 species